GACGAACGCUGGCGGCGCGCCUAACACAUGCAAGUCGAGCGAGAACCAGGACUUCGGUCCUGGGGACAGCGGCGAACGGGUGAGUAUCACGUGAGUAACCUGCCCUCGGCACCGGAAUAGCCCGGGGAAACUCGGAUUAAUGCCGGAUAGCCCCACAACCCUGCGGGGUAGUGGGAAAAGGUAGCUUUGGCCUCGGGCCGAGGAUGGGCUCGCGUCGGAUUAGCUUGGUGGUGGGGUAACGGCCUACCAAGGCGACGAUCCGUAGCUGGUCUGAGAGGACGAUCAGCCACACUGGGACUGAGACACGGCCCAGACUCCUACGGGAGGCAGCAGUGGGGAAUCUUGCGCAAUGGGCGAAAGCCUGACGCAGCGACGCCGCGUGCGGGAAGAAGGCCUUCGGGUUGUAAACCGCUUUCAGGAGAGACGAAGCCACUCGGGUUAAUAGCCCAGAGGGUGACGGUACCUCCAGAAGAAGCCCCGGCUAACUACGUGCCAGCAGCCGCCGUAAUAC
rnacentral:rRNA from 1 species